AGAGUUUGAUCAUGGCUCAGGAUGAACGCUGGCGGCGUGCCUAAUACAUGCAAGUCGAGCGAGGCCCUUCGGGGCCUAGCGGCGGACGGGUGAGUAACACGUGGGUAACCUGCCUGUAAGGCUGGGAUAACUUCGGGAAACCGAAGCUAAUACCGGAUAAUUUCGAGCAUCGCAUGAUGCUUGAUGGAAAGACGGCUUCGGCUGUCGCUUACAGAUGGACCCGCGUCGCAUUAGCUAGUUGGUGAGGUAACGGCUCACCAAGGCGACGAUGCGUAGCCGACCUGAGAGGGUGAUCGGCCACACUGGGACUGAGACACGGCCCAGACUCCUACGGGAGGCAGCAGUAGGGAAUCUUCGGCAAUGGGCGAAAGCCUGACCGAGCAACGCCGCGUGAGCGAUGAAGGCCUUCGGGUCGUAAAGCUCUGUUGUUAAGGAAGAACAAGUACGAGAGUAACUGCUCGUACCUUGACGGUACUUAACGAGAAAGCCACGGCUAACUACGUGCCAGCAGCCGCGGUAAUACGUAGGUGGCGAGCGUUAUCCGGAAUUAUUGGGCGUAAAGCGCGCGCAGGCGGCUUCUUAAGUCUGAUGUGAAAGCCCACGGCUCAACCGUGGAGGGUCAUUGGAAACUGGGAAACUUGAGUGCAGAAGAGGAAAGCGGAAUUCCACGUAGCGGUGAAAUGCGUAGAGAUGUGGAGGAACACCAGUGGCGAAGGCGGCUUUCUGGUCUGUAACUGACGCUGAGGCGCGAAAGCGUGGGGAGCAAACAGGAUUAGAUACCCUAGUAGUCC
rnacentral:rRNA from 1 species